GGGCCGUUAGCUCAGUUGGUAGAGCAGCGGACUUUUAAUCCGUUGGUCACUGGUUCAAGUCCAGUACGGCCUACCA
rnacentral:tRNA from 2 species